GGGUUGUGGCUCAGCGGUAGAGCGCUUGCCUACUAGCAUGUGCAGGCCCUGGGUUCGAUCCUCAGUGCUCA
rnacentral:tRNA from 1 species